rnacentral:rRNA from 1 species
UCUUGGUCAUUUUAGAGGAAGUAAAAGUCGUAACAAGGUUUCCGUAGGUGAACCUGCGGAAGGAUCAUUACAAGGAAACGGUGCCUUCGGGCCCGAUUCUCCAACCACUGCGUACCAAGCUUUAUGUUGCCUCGGUGGGCGUUCCCCCCUCCACUCGCGUGGAUGGCAGUCCGCCCGCCGAAGGACCCUUCAAACAUGUUUUUUUUGCAAGGCGAACGUCUUAAUGAACAUCGCAAAUGCGAAAGUACAACUUUCAACAAUGGAUCUCUUGGCUCCGGCAUCGAUGAAGAACGCAGCGAAAUGCGAUAGCUAGUGUGAAUUGCAGAUUUCAGUGAAUCAUCGAGUUUUUGAACGCACAUUGCGCCCCUUGGUAUUCCUUGGGGCAUGCCUAUUCGAGCGUCGUUGUAACCCUCAAGCGCAAGCUUGGUGUUGGGGAGUGCCCUUCUCGCGAGGUGGCAGCCCUUGAAUACGUCGGCAGUGCCGGUGCAGCCUGGAGCGCAGCAGCAAUGCAGCUACCGUGGGCUCGCCUGGGACUUGCCAGCAACAACGUCUUACCUUUUGCUCGACCUCGAAUUAGGUAGGGAUACCCGCUGAACUUAAGCAUAUCAU